ensembl:lncRNA
CUAUUAUUUAACUUUGCUACUGAAUUGAAUAAGAAUCUAGUCUUAUUUUUGUUAUCCUCCGUUAACUAGGAAAGAUAUGCUGAUCUAGCAACACUAAGAGCCUUUCUAUAGCUAAGAAGGCUCUCAUUAAAUGCAAUUGGGAAUUUAGUUAGUUGACAUUUAAGAGGCAGCAGCACAAUGUAUAAAUUCAUGCAGAUACAGAUCAAGAGCUUCAAUUAAUGUUCACAUCAAACAUCAGAAUGGGGAGAAAUAUGAUUUCUAUGUGUUCCACUCCUGUCAGCCAAGAACAGGAAUCUGAGGCUAUCAUGAGCACAGACUCACUCAAAGUGGAAAAUUGAAGAAACUGUCCAGUUUUGACAAAAAGGACAAUUGCAUAAGGAUGCUGUUCAUAGACUUCAGUUCAGCAUUCAACACAAUCAUCCCACAACAACUGACAACAAAGCUGAGCCUGUUGGGUUAAAACACCUCACUCUGCAAAUGGAUCCUGGAUUUUCUGACCGAGAGUCCCCAGUCCGUCAUGAUUGGCAACUCCACCUCCAGCACCACCACACUGAACACCGGUGCCCCGCAGGGCUGCAUGCUCAGUCUACUUCUGUUUACCCUGCUAAUUCAUGACUGUGCUGCAAAGUUAAUUUCUCAUCACAUCAUCAAGUUUGAUAAUGACACUACAGUUGUGAACCUCAUCAGCAACAAUGAUGAGUCAGCAUACAGGGAGUAGGUGAACCAGCUCGCAGAAUUGUGUAGAGACAAUCCCAUCUCUUAAUGUUGAUAAGACUAAAGAGAUGAUUGUCCACUUCAGGAGAACCCAAGUGGACCACUCACCACUGCACAUCACUGGAACAAUUGUGGAGAGAGUCAAAAGCUCCAAGUUUCUUGGUGUGCACAUGAUUCAGGACCUAUCCUGUUCUCUCAACACCAGACAGUUUUAUCAUGUGCAGCAGUAAAAGAUCUUGGUAUGAUUAUUGACUUAAGUCUUUCAUGUGAAGCUCAUGUAGAUAAGGAUAGCAUUUUUUCAUCUCAGAAAUUAUUGCUAAGAUAAGAAACAUAAUGUCACUACACGAUGCAGAAAAACUAGUUUACGCUUUUGUUACCUCUAGGUUAUUGUAAUGCCUUACUCUCUGGAUGUUCCAGUAAGUGAAUAAACAAGCUCCAGUUAGUCCAGAAUGCAGCUGGAAAAGUCCUUACUAGAACCAGAAGAUAUGCCCACAUCUUAUCCACACUGCACUGGCUCCCAGUAAAAUUUCACAUUGAUUAUAAAGUACUACUAUUGAUCUAUAAAGCACUGAAUCGUCUUGCACGACAGUACCUGAGCAAAGUUUUUGGUGUUUUAAG